rnacentral:rRNA from 1 species
UACGUAGGGUGCGAGCGUUGUCCGGAAUUAUUGGGCGUAAAGGGCUCGUAGGCGGUUUGUCGCGUCGGGAGUGAAAACACCGGGCUUAACUCGGUGCUUGCUUUCGAUACGCGCAGACUAGAGGCAUGCAGGGGAGAACGGAAUUCCUGGUGUAGCGGUGAAAUGCGCAGAUAUCAGGAGGAACACCGGUGGCGAAGGCGGUUCUCUGGGCAUGUCCUGACGCUGAGGAGCGAAAGUGUGGGGAGCGAACAGG